ACUAGAACUUGAUCAUAGGAUUGCAUAUUCAAGCAACCUUGUUAUCCCAUCCUGACAUCUAUCUAUCAUACUAGGACUGCUAGAGAGGGCUAACCGCCAAUUUAGUAUCUUAGUAGGGCAUAUCAUAUUCGCGCAUAGGCCUGGCUAGAACCCGUCGAUCGAUGUCCUCAACUGACAAUCGAUCGACGUUGGCAAAGGUGUAUCGGUCGACGUCUUAAUACACCAUUGAUCGACACUAUCUCGCUGUCGACAUACUAACCGUUGAGACACGAGAUCUAGUCUGUUAACCAGUGAGACAUGCGACAGCAGAUCACUGAGUUAAGCGAUUGAGCUCUAAUAUAUCAUGCAUGCAACAGUUAGGCAUCUAUAGGUAUUAUAAUCUCCAACACCUGAAUAGUGGCCCUGCAUCUAAUAUCAUUUCCAACCAAGUUACAUUUAUUAUUUACUCGCUUGUUACUAUUGCUAUUUCAUUUAAACAUUUACAACCCUUAGAAUUAAUAAACACUAGAUUUAAUUGUUCCCUACCUCCUUGUGGAUUCGAUCCCUAAGUACUACAUCUGAACCUCUUUUGAUGAGAGUAACACUCCUUAGGGUAAUUUGAGUGGUAUCAAUGGGCACAUGACCUUGGCAGCACGUAGCUCUGUAGGUGAUAUGAGCCAUCUGUUCUAGGGGGCGCAUGGGCGGAACAGAUUGUGGAGUAGUCAAUAUGCUGAAGGGAGCAUGAAGCUUCGAUAUGCUUUGAUGAGCAUGGCGUAUCCCUGUCGGUGAGCUGGUGAUCGUGGCCUGAGCCAUUAUAUGGAGUUGCAGACGUGCUUCCAUGAAUGUAGAACUUCAUCUUGUUGGUAUUAAUCGCAGGGAUUCAUCGGUUAUAAGCAUGUUGAUGAAGAUGGCCUUCUAGGUCUCGAAUCUUGCUUCGGCAGCUAUGGAGAUGAUGAGCUCGUGUCUCUUGCUGUGUUCUGGAUCUCCCCCCCCCCCCCCCCCCCCCCCCCCCUCUUUCUUUAGGUUUAGAAGCCUUAUAUAAGUCGUCCUUGAGGCGGUUAGAUUAGGUUAAAAUCUUCCAUAUUGAGAUUUAUGGAAGGUUCUCCUUAUCAAAAGUUUUCCAUUUUUUGGAUGAGGGGGUGGUCCCUGGGACCGGUCUCGGGGUUCCUAUUAGCGGGGACCUGGAGCGUUCCCUUAUCGGAGACCCGGAGUUCUGGGUCUUGCCUGGAGGCUGGAGGAAAAUGAUGCUGGAGUAUUUUUCCCAAACAGUUUGCCUCUUAUUUCUCGAUUUCGUCAUCGAAGUCUGGGAAUAACCUGUGCACUCAAUUCAACCGGGGUUGCUCAUUCUCAGAAGGCUCCCCUUAGGCAGGACUCCGCUCCAAUGGUCUUGCUAUCCUGGGUUCCACUCAAGCCGAAACUCAUUCUGAACCUAGGCGAGGAUCGGUUCCUCCUUGUUUGGCCGGAGCUUGAUAGAAGUUUCUUGUAUCUUCUGAUGGUGAUGAAGCCGGAGCGUUGAUGAUUUCUUCUGAAAAGAUGGGUCGGAGUGUGACCUUUGAAGCUGGUUGUAGACUGGAAGGAGUUUUUACUGGAGGAACCCAGUGGCUUUCAUGUGUGUCCCUAUGCUGGGACCUCUUGGGCUGGAGACGAAAUGCUGGAAGAAGGACCCUCAGGGUUCUGGUAAUUUUUGGGUUGCACCGUAGUAUCAAAUUAAUCGUUGAGUUUGGAGUAGGAUGUUGGCUCGUAACCUAGGCCAUCAAACUUCCUUGUUGGUAAUGCUCAGAUGCACUCGCGCUCGGUGGGGAAGGAUUCGCGGCCUGAUUGGAGAUGUAUGACCUUUGAUUCCGGAGACCUGGAAGUGAAAAAUCAGGAAGAACCACCACAUAAGACCUUGUAAAUGCUCUAAGGACGGAUAUCCCUGUCGCGCAUGGUCAAGUUGAGCCUGCAAGACUUUCUUUUCUCCUUUAUAAGGAUGAGACGUUGCCCCCACGGUGGAGAUUCGCCGGAGUUGGCAGAAAGUUUGAUGGAGAAGCCGGGAAUGUCUGCAUAAAGAGUGAUGCUUCUUCACUUGACCCAUCCUAUGAAGAUCCACGCCUGACCGGAUUUACUUGCACCAUGUUGAAGAUCUCUUGUAUGCAUUUCUUUCGUAGUCUGUAUAAUUGUCUAAUAAAUCGCUUUCGCUGAGAAUUGAAGCCUGGACAUCUUAUAAUGUGCAAUCUGCAAGAAAUUGCAUACUAUGGGAUUCGAACCCCAAACUUGUCUGUAGAAGUCUUUAAACCUUAAACUCUAUUGUACAUGUUUGUUGAUAAUAAAACUUUGAGACAAUUAACUAUUCUUUUUUUCAAAAAAAAGAAACAAUUAAUUAUUCAUUCUCGACUGUAUAUAUCCAUGCGUUAGGUCACUUUCACAACUUUUAAUUAAUUAUUUCUUUUUAACAAUUAAUUAUUUCUUUUUUCGGUAUCUCUUAACAGUUUUUUUUUAAAUGUUAAGAUUUUAUAUUAGAUUUUUGAAUUUUGUACAGACAUUACAGAUAUUAACUAGCUAGGAGCAAAAAAAUAUUGAAAUUGAAACUAUCAGAAGGGCCCUAAGGAGCAAACAUAAAAUGAAGGAGAAGACACUCGCAUAACGGCCUAGAUUAAACCAUGGCAGAGAAAAAUCAGAGGACGAAGCACAAACAGAGUGAACAACCAGUUGCCGCGAGCUACCGCAGAAAAAGACGCCUUCAAACCUUGAAACACACGGUUUCCUACAGCUUCCAGAAAAAUUCACACGCCUCAACCUGCCCAAAGAAUAAAAACCAGACAGUCUAGCUCAUCUAACAAACACCAAAUCGGCAGCACGAGGAGGGACUGCAGCUGACGAUGCCGUCGUUCAGAGAAGGAAGCUGAAGAUUGCUGCCUCUAACCUAUCUUCCCAAGUCCGUGUACACCCAUUUAACCGCCAAGCCCAUAUGGAGCAAGGGGACCAGCUAGGCACACCUCCUCCAACGUAAUACCCACUUGACGAGCUAGAAAGCUGGAAGCCAAACUUAAACAUUACCCACGCCACCAAAACCGAGAAACUCCAUCUCGGCCAACUCCAUCUCUUUAGAAUUUCCAUAAACUUUUUUUUUGAACAUCUAUUUCCUUAAACUUCAUUGUUUUAAAAAGAUUGAUAAACAUAUAUUAUUUUCCUCCAUAUAUAUCUUUUAUAUACUAAAUCACAAGUCACCUAACAAAUCAAAAUUUGACAUGUGAAAUUUUUUGUUAAGAAAUAAUUGAUUGAAAGAAUUGAUUAAAAUAAAUUUCUCAUCAACCCCUAAUUUUCAGCAACUUUAUCCUAUUUUUUCUCAAAAUAUCACAUCCACGUUCAAACUGUUUUUUUUUUCUUAUUUAAAUUUAUGUUGUACUUUCUUUUUCUUCAUUUCUAUCAUCUCCAUGUGAAUUUUGAUCUCUACCUCUACGGUUCUUCGUAACUUUUUUCCAGCAAUUCAAAGCUUUUAUUAUUUCUUAUUUAUAGCAUGGAUUAGUAUUUAGUAAUCCAUCAUCGACAAGAUACUGGUACAUUUUGUAACACCCGUAUUUUCCGAAAUAACUUAAAUAAAUAAAAAGUCUGAAAUCUCCAUUUAUUACUUCUCAAAAGUCAAUUCCGGAAUCAUAAAUCCAAUAAAUAACCAUAAAUGCAAUAAAAGAGAUAAAUCCCGAAAUAUUGAUAAAAUAAUAAAAUCGAAAGUCUGAAAAUAAAAGAAAUAGAACUCCCAAAGCACCAAUCCGAUAGCAAUCACUCCUGCUCGUCAGUCUCACCUGAAAGAGGAAAGGAAUAGGAGGGGUGAGUAAAAGGGUGAGUAACUCCGUGAGGUAUGGGAUGCUAAACCACAAACCACUGACUCAGUACAUAGCACUACGACUAUGUAGGCCUAGCUCUAGCAUGAAACAAACACGGUGUCUAAUACACCACAUAAAACAUCAAAUGCGCUGAUAGUGCAUAACUAGAUCACACACCCCGCAUUCUCCUUAUACGGAUAUAAAUAUAUAACUCUAUGCGCCGCUAGUACAAGAGUCCAUCCUUGUACCCCGCAAUCACCUAUGCGCCGCUAGUACAAACGUCUUUGUACCCCGCAAUCACUCAUACAAUGCGUCGCUAGCAUAGACGUCCAUAUGCCCCGCAAUCUCCAUACAAUGCGCCGCUAACACAAACGUCUCUGUGUCCCGCAAUCUCCACACAAUGCGCCGUUAGCACAACAUCUUUUGUGCCCCGCAAUCUCAUAACAGACUUAUGUAUAUACAUAUAUAAAUGACAGUUCUUAAUUCAUUCAAUUCAAUCAACCGUUGAAUCCUCUAUUAUCCUAUUUCCGGUUUAACAAUCAAUAGUAAUAAUAAACAAACAAGACUCUCAAACGGACUCAAUUCACAGAGACGGAUCAUGUUUCGAAACUAAACUUUCCAUAAUAGUAGUACUAAACUAGCUCGGGCUUUAAUGGGAUAGCCCUCACCUUAGCCACAGGUUGAAUGAACAACGGAAGAUGCGGUCAGCUGAGGUCAACUGCAACACGAGAAUCAACGACUUAAGCUCUGCUUCUCUGGAAAUAAGUUUCCUAAAAUGAAAACUUUCCUAAAAUGAAACAUAUCCUAAAAUAGAAACUUUCCUAAAAUGUCAACUUUCCUAAAAUGGCAACUUUCCUAAAAUAGAAACUUUCCUAAUAUAACUUAUUUCCUAAAUUAGAAACUUUCCUAAAAUAUUCCUAUAACUAGAAAUAAGGAGGCAACAAACUUACUGGAAAACCCGCCGGAAGCUCGUCUAGAAAUCUCACCGGAAGCUCGUCCAGAAAUCUCGCCGGAAGCUCACCCGGAAAUCCCACCGGAAAAUUCACUAGUGACUGGUCGUCGAAUAAUUCAACAACAACUCAUCACACGCAAAGAAAUACUUUGACUUGAUGAGAAUAAAGAGAAAGGAUGGAGUUUUUUAUAUAGGAGAAGGGAAGGCAAGUAGGUUUUCUAAACAUCCAAUGUAGGACAAAGUAAAAAGAGAGAAUUAGACUUUAAUUUUUAAUAAAGGCCAAACUGUUCCACCAGAAAAAAUCUGGGUCGUUACACAUUUAUUUUGAAGAGAUUCCAUUUUAGAGUUAGAAACUUUCUCUAUCUAUUGAUUUACAGACUCUAAAAGCCAUACUUUGGAGAUAUGUGAAGGAGUCCAUAACUACACUCGCACGCUGAAUUUCCAAUCAGUCAAAAAAGACAAACGGAACAAGCAUCAGAUUUUAGCCUGACAGAAAAGGUUAACCAAUUUUUCACUCCUUAAUAUUUGUAAUGUUUCUUUUAUUCAAUCAAUUAUUUUUAAGCAAUCACCACUGCAAGUCUGCAAUUGAAUUCUACCAUGAUACUAAAUGGACGUAUCAGGGAGCCUUUGGUUUUCUGAAUCCAAAGUUAAAUUUACUUUAAUUAAUAUUUUUUGAAGCUGGAAUUUAAUUAAUUAUUGCUGGACUAUUUAUUAUAGCUUAGUAAAAAUCAAACAAAAGUUGUAAUUCUAAUUUUAUAAAUUCAUAAAUUAUCAAAAUAGAAAUUAUAGGUUAAUUAUGUUCAAAUUUGCGUUUUAUAAAAAUAUAGGUUAGGUAAAUUAACAUAAAAUGUCAAUGAAUUAUUUUAAAAUGUAAAAUAAGAAGAAAACAUUUUAUUAGAUCUAUAUCGAAUAAAUUAAUGUCUCAAGGUAUUUUUAACUAUAUUUUAUAUUUUGUAUCAUUUUUUUAUUUUGAAAAAUACUACAAACAUGUAUCAAUUUUGUAAUAUUUAUUCUAAUUACAAAUAAUGACAGCGAUCAAAUAGUUUUAAAAACAGUAAAUUAACCCAUGCAUAGCAUGGGUGAUAAUACUAGUAACAGAACUAAAUUACAAAAAACACACUAUAUUUUGUAACUUAGGAUUAUUCUGACUUUAUAUAAAUUUUCUGAUUAAUUUCUGAGAGAAGAUGCAUUUUACGGAUACAUUUUUUCGAAUAUGUAAAUAGGUCAAAAGCAAAAACACAUAUGUGUGUGAGUGUCCAAAUAAAAUUUAAUUCAAUUUUGCAUAACAAGUAAAUCGAGACUGAAACCUAUUAGCGUGUCUUAGAUCUGUCUCUUUAAUACUAAACCAAAAAAUCUCAGCCACACUAUGGUGACGAUUGUUUGUAGUUUCUGAAAUACUUUUUGGUUUUUGUUUUUUUCAAAAACUAGUUUUCUUUUUCGUAAAAUUGACAUCCAACUCAAAGUCAAACACAAAACUAGCCUUCUUUUUUUUUAGGAAAUUAGUUUUGCCCUAUUCACCCCACAAGUUCAUAUAAUUCACAAAAAUGCCAUCAAUUUUUUUUUUUUUUGAAAAAUGACAUUUUUACUCUCUCACCCUCAUCAUCUUCAAGUAAGUACAAAAUUGCUAUUGUCAAUACCUUAACCACCAUGAACAACCAAUUUGAAGCUUUUAAUGCUCCCAAAAUCGAUUUACCUUUCUUCUUUCUCCAUUCUUAUGAACUAAACACAGCAUCUCUCUCACUUUUUCUCCACAUUAAGCUAAAGAAACCCAAGAUUUUGAUUCUACUUUUUUUAUUGUUCAUAGAGUCAAAGAAGCUAAUGAUUCUUUGUGGGUCACUUUCGUUUGAGAUUUUGUGUUCUUGGAGAAGCCUUAUGUGUGCUAAGGAAGUUAUCUCACCAAUUUAAGGUAUGAAAUCAAGUUUUUUCCAGAUCUGUUCGUCCAGACGACUUACAGGUAAAUCGUUUGGCUGUAGACGACUUACAUGGCAGUCUUCUGGUCAAUGCAAAGAUUAAUUUUGCAGUUGACUUUUAAAUGUAUUUUUCUAGACGACUUACAUGGAAGUCUUCCAUCUUUGUUUGUUAAAAAAAAAAUCGAGACGAAUUCCAUGUAAGUCGUCUAGGGAAAACAUGUUAGUUUUGCAUUUGACCGGAUUGUGUCAGAAAUUUAACUUUUCCUACAUGACUUACAUGUAAGUCGUCCUGUAGAAAAUUAAAAAAUCAAUAUUUGGUUAUACCUAGACGACUUCCAUGUAAGUCGUCUUAGGUUAGUUUGAAAUUAAAAAAUAAAACAAAAAAAAAUAUUUUUGUCUAGACGACUUACACGGAAGUCGUCCAUCAGACGACUUACUCGAAAGUCGUCCAUAAUUUUAUUCCAAGAUUCUGGUCAAACGUUGCUUAUCUUGGACGACUUCCAUGUAAGUCGUCGGACAGACGACUUUCGUGUAAGUCGUCUAGAAAAAUAUAUUUUUUUGUUUUAUUUUUCAAUUGCAAAACUAACCUGAGAUGACUUACAUAGAAGUCGCCUAGGUAUAACAAAAUAUUGAUUUUUUAAUUUUCUACUGGACGACUUAAGUCGUCCAAGAAAAAUCAAAUUUCUGACACAAUCCGGUCAAAUGCAAAACUAACAUGUUUUUCCUAGACGACUUACAUGAUAGUCGUCUCAAAUUUUUUUUUAACAAACAAAGAUGGACGACUUCCAUGUAAGUCUUCUAGGUUAAAAAUCAAUUCAAAACUAACCUAAAUGGACGAUUUACUAGAAGUCUACUAGACGACCUCCGUGGAAGUCAUAUGCGUCAAUGUUUAAUAAACUUUCAUUUUCUCUAAAACUAUAAAGACCUUUUAAUUUUUUUUUGUUAAUUCAUGUAUAUUAGUCGAUAUUGGGGCUACUGAAUGAAAUUUAUAACUUAAUUGGUGAUAUUUAUGAGAUUACCAACAUUCAUGCUUAGUGAAGUUUCUAGCUAAUUGAGAAGACUUCCGUGGAAGUCUUCUACGUUAGUUUUUGUAAAUUUGUUAAGUAACUUUAAGAUAUGUUUAUUUAAUUUUUAAAAGUGUUAAGUAACUUCAAGAAUAUCAAGUAACAUGGUUUAAUGAAAGUGUUCUAGCUUUGAACUUAUGCACUGCUUUUAUCUUUUGUGAAUUUGAUUAAGUUUUCUUGAGAAUUCUUCUCCCUUAGUUGUAAUAAAUUUGAUUAUUUUUUGUGUUAUUGUGUUUUGCUAUUGAAGUUGUAUCAAUAACUUCAAUUAUGUCAAGUAAUUUUGGCAAGAUAAUGUUGUGGAAAAUGAACAUAUUUACCAAACUUUUUCAUUAAUAUUUCUUCAAAUUUACAAAAAAAAAGUCACGACUAAAGGAGUACACAUGCAAAUCACAAAACAGACCACAAACAAAACUAUUAUAGAUCAUUCAUCUACCAAUACAAGCUUAGACUCCACUUGAUAUGGAAGAAGACCCCGUCAAAAGACUUCUUGGAAGACUUCUUUGAAGUCGUCUGGAAUACUUCCUCAAAGUCUUCUAACGUAUUAUAUUUUAGAAGACUUCCGAGAAAACUUCCUUAGUUCUUCCAAAGUCUGAUCCAGAUCUGAAAAACUUGUAUAUCAAACCCAAAUUUGAAAAAUCUACAUAUCAUAUUAAAAAACGUUCAAAUGGCUUAAAACAAAGAAAAGGAGUAGAAAAUUAGAUAGAUAUACUUUUAUAGAAGACACGAAGUACAUAUCCAAGUGGAAGAUUAGAACAAUCUGAUUAAAACCUGUAAAAAGAAAGAUAAAUUAGUGAGAAAGACAUGAGACAAAAAUGAAAAAUUCAUAUAAAUUUUAGUGUUUUCAAGUCAAAGAGAUUAUAAUGGGUUUGGAGAGUUUUAGUUUGGGAAAAAGAUAUGAAUUUUAUGCAACAGGAGGUUACCAAAUGAAGUAAAAUCAGACAUAAGAACUUACCAAAACACUCAAAUCUAUUAUGAAAGGGAGACAUGGGAGAAACCUGUAUAUCCAAAUCUUCAAGAUUUGAAAAACUUGCAUAUCAAAAUACAGAUCUGAAAAACCUGCAUCUCCAAAAAUGUUUAAAUAACUUAAAAACAUAGAAAAUGAGUGAAAUAUUAGAUAGAUCUACCUUUAUAGAACAUACAAAACUAUAUAUCUAAAAUUAAUAAAUCUCCCUUUAAAUAAGUACCUGCAAAACAAGAUAAACUAGUGAGAAAGGCAUGAGACAAAAAUAAUAAAUUGAUAUAAAGUUUUGUGUUUAUAAGUUCAAAAAAGAUUAGAGAGAUGUUGGAGAGUUUUAGAAUGAGGAACAUACCAUUUUUGUUGCAGCUAUUUGAGAAGAGAAGAGAGAAUGUGAAAAUUUUUCUUUAUAUAUGGAGACAAAAAUUCCAAUAAGGUUAAAUAUUUUCGAUCAGAAGACUUAUUAGACGACUUACUUGUAAGUCACAAAGAAGACUUCAAUAUUUUUAGCGGGAAACUAAAAUAUUUUUAGCGGGAGUUAGAAGACUUCCCAGACGACUUAGAUGUUAGUCGUCUAGACCCUAAACAUAACCCCUAAACUAAAUUAACUAACUAAACACUUCAUAAAAUGAAAUUAAACUUAAAAAGUGUUGACUGUACACAUAAAUAAUCACAUGUAGAUAAAAAAAAUUAAUUUUUCAAAAAAACAUUUAAGCUUUCUAAAAUCUAACCAUAAGAAUACAUACAAUGCUACAACAUAUGUUGCCAAACUCUAGACCAAAAAAUAUCAUGAUUCACUACUUUCACUCAUCGAUGUUGAAAACAAUUUAAUUUUAUUAUAUCUAUAUUUAUAUCACUUGAAACUAUUCAUAACUACAUGAUUUUAAUUUUUCGCUUAUCAAAAUAUUUUUUACAAAAUUUAUAAAUUAUUUUAAGAUCAACUAUACUAGACGACUUUCAUGGACGUUGUCUAGAAGACUUAACAGAAUCUCAGAAGACUUAGAAGAUUUAGCGGGGAUAUAUUCGUAAAAAUGAGUUAUGUUUUUUUGUUUGUUCAGAAGGAGCUGACUAUAAUUUCACAAGAUUUUUGAGUUAUUUUUGCAUUUGAUUCAAGUUUGGGUAUACUUUUGCAAUCAAAAUCAAGUUUUGGGUCAUAUUUGGUAAAUUCUCAAAAAAAAUCUAAAAUCUAAAACCAAAAUCUAAAAACCAAAAACUAAACUAAAAACUAGUACAAACAGUCAUCACCUAUAUUUAUUUCUAAAAUCAUGAGUUGUGAAUAAACGCAAUUGUGUAUAAGAGGGUUAAAUAAAUUUUCAAAAAUAAAUAAAAUCUUACAUAAUCGGAAAUAUUAGUUGCUAAUACAAAUAAACCUACCAAAGUGUAUAUGUAAAUAAUUCUUUUAGCAAAAAUUUAUAUUACUUUUAUGGGACUUUUAUUAAGGGAUUGAAAUGGGGGUGUGUUUUUUACAUCUUUAUGUCUAAAACAGAAACUGUGGAAGGAAACAAAAGUUCCAAUUGCAAACACGCCAGCUCUGUUUUAUUUUUAUAUGUCAAAAAGAAGGGUUUACGGUGAAUUCGUCGGUGAGGAGAUGAGGAUGAGGCCAUUGGAGCAAAGGUCACACUUACGAUGUAAGAUCGUCAAAUGCGGUGAAGUGGAUAACCAGUGGGGCCCACUAUCGCCACAGCACCACAAGUCAGUAGUCACCAACAAUGUUUUACUUCUUACCUCGUGGCGACGACAUGCCCGUCCAGCCUAUAUUUUAUUCUAAAACCAAGCGUAAACUUUUGACACCAAUGAUAAAAAAAAAAGUUUUUUAGUGGUAAAAUCGUUCAGUUAUAUUUUGAAUCAAUUUUUAAAAUGUUUAAAUUCUUAGCUUACAAACAGUAGUCUAAAACUUCAAUAUAUAAAAAGCAUAAACCGAGAAAAAUCAUGUAUUUCAGUGACAAAAAUCCCUGAACUAAUACAUUGUAUCAUUAUAACUUUUUUUCUAUCUAAAAUAGACCGCAUUAAAGAUGGAGAGUAUAUAAAUUGAUGAUUUUAAACAUUAAAAAUUAAUCGAAAGACAUCUCUUUUUUAAUUCAAAAUAGUUACAGAAUCUUAUCUCUAAAAACCCUAAUAAAUAAAAUAAACAUUUAUAUUAAUUAAAGUGAUAACGAUUAUGAUUAAGAGAUGAAAAUUUAAGAAAUUACUUGUUUAACACUGAAGAUUAUAUAUUGAACAAGGUAUAAUACAUUGGUUGAAUACAAUAAAACACACAUAAAGCCGGCAGACACGGAGACAUCUCCGGAGACUUUGCCGGCAAAACUAUGUUUCUCGGAAACCAUUAGCCCGAACAAGGGAAACCAGACAUACUACAUCAACACAAACAAGAGAUAGAACCAUACUAUAAACACUUCAAAUCACCUUAAAAGGAAGAGGCUUUAAACUAAUCUAAUAUAACAUCCCGAACCCUUUGAGAUCAACUGGUAAAGUUUUCCAAUCAUAUUGAUAACUGAGACCUCCUCCUAUAGUGAGAGAGCAUAAUCAAUAGAGAAACAACUUUAAGAUCUGGCCUUCAAGUAGAGACGAUGUCGACAAGAGAAUGACAAGGGAACGCAAAAAAAAAAGCACUACAAAAAAAACGAGAUCCUAUUCAAAUCUCUGGAGAAAAGACAAGGAGCGAUACAUAUCCAAAUCCAAACCAAUCUAAUCUCGAAACCGAGACCAUAAAACACAACGAAA